GAAAGGAAUGCUCUAUAUGUUGUGGUUGCUUUCCAUCAGAUGACAUUGCUCUGCAUGGAAGCUUGUGUGGUGAAAGUCCACAGGAUACUCCUGACUACAAUUCCGACUUCUGUCCCACUUCAGGCCCUACUAGUAGUGUGCUAUGCGAGGGAAGCGUGCCUUUGGCUGAUAUAUCUAGUGAAGAUGAUAUCCUCCAGUUGCUUGCAAAUCAAGUAGAUGCAAGCAAAGAUUUUAAGAUUUGCAUCACCCGAGAUGACCUUGUCCAAAGAGGCUUCAUUCAGUGGCAAAGACAAAAGAAGGGCUCCCCUGUCAACAAACUCAAUGUGACUUUCAUUGGAGAAGCAGGAAUUGAAACUGGUACAUUAAGCAAAGAAUUUUUGACGGGUAAUGUACUGAAACUUCAGAAGUACAGGUUCAGUUACAGUUUGAGUUAUUUCCUUAAUUGUGUUGUCUUCAUUUGUUAUAUUUACAAAUUAUAAAUGGCAUUUAGAGGCGACUGUUCAAGGGCAAUGGCAUAAAGGGAAAGAGUCCUGUCUACUCCAUAAGUGACGUAGAAAAUGGUUU